AAACUGGAGAGUUUGAUCCUGGCUCAGAACGAACGCUGGCGGCGUGCCUAACACAUGCAAGUCGAACGCGAACGUCUUCUUCGGAGGACAAGUAGAGUGGCGCACGGGUGAGUAACGCGUAAGUAAUCUGUCCUGGCAUCUGGGAUAACCUAUCGAAAGGUGAGCUAAUACCGGAUACGUCCUGCGGGAGAAAGACCGCUCUGUUGUAAAGCGGUUGUGCGAGGAGGAGCUUGCGUACCAUUAGCUGGUUGGUGGGGUAACGGCCUACCAAGGCGACGAUGGUUAGCGGGUCUGAGAGGAUGAUCCGCCACACUGGAACUGAAACACGGACCAGACUCCUACGGGAGGCAGCAGUGAGGAAUAUUGCGCAAUGGGGGCAACCCUGACGCAGCGAACGCCGCGUGGAUGAUGAAGGCCUUCGGGUUGUAAAGUCCUGUCAGAUGGGAAGAAGUGUACGUGGCAUUAGAGCUGUGCACUAUUUGACGGUACCAUCAGAGGAAGCUCCGGCUAACUCCGUGCCAGCAGCCGCGGUAAUACGGGGGGUGCGAGCGUUGUUCGGAAUCAUUGGGCGUAAAGGGCGCGUAGGCGGUCCUGAGCCAGUCAGGUGUGAAAGCACCGGGCUUAACCGGUGAGUGCAUUUGAAACACUCGGAGCUUGAAUAACGCAGAGGGAUGACUGGAAUUCCUGGUGUAGCGGUGAAAUGCGUAGAUAUCAGGAAGAACACCGGUGGCGAAGGCGAGUCAUCUGGCCGUAGAUUGACGCUGAGGUGCGAAAGCGUGGGUAGCAAACAGGAUUAGAUACCCUGGUAGUCCACGCCGUAAACGUUGAUCGACUAGGUGUCGGGGUCCAUUGUCUUGCGCAGCUAACGCAUUAAGUACCCGCCUGGGGAGUACGGUCGCAAGGUUAAAACUCAAAGGAAUUGACGGGGGCCCGCACAAGCGGUGGAGCAUGUGGUUUAAUUCGAUGCAACGCGCAGAACCUUACCUGGUCUUGACAUCCGUGAAUCCUCGUGGAAGAUAUGGAGUGCCUCUUCGAGGAGCCGUGUGACAGGUGCUGCAUGGCUGUCGUCAGCUCGUGUCGUGAGAUGUUGGGUUAAGUCCCGCAACGAGCGCAACCCUUGUCCUUUAGUUACCAUCAUUGAGUUGGGGACUCUAAGGAGACUGCCGGUGUCAAACCGGAGGAAGGUGGGGAUGACGUCAAGUCCUCAUGGCCUUUAUGUCCAGGGCUACACACGUGCUACAAUGGCCGGUACAAAGGCAGCGACACUGCGAGGUGAAGCGAAUCCGGAAAAGCCGGUCUCAGUUCGGAUUGGAGUCUGCAACUCGACUCCAUGAAGUUGGAAUCGCUAGUAAUCGCGGAUCAGCAUGCCAGCGGUGAAUACGUUCCCGGGCCUUGUACACACCGCCCGUCACACCACGGAAGUUGGUUGUACCCAGAAGCAGUUGCGCUAACCGUAAGGGGCAGGCUGCCAAGGUAUGAUUAGUAACUGGGGUGAAGUCGUAACAAGGUAGCCCUAGGGGAACCUGGGGCUGGAUCACCUCCUUU
rnacentral:rRNA from 1 species